CAUUUUUGAACGGCCUUGUUUUAAUGGCAAUGGCGCGCAAUGGCCCUAGCUAGUGCCCCAAAAUUUGUCCUUGGAAAUAGCAGACGAACAGCCCAAAACAGUCCUAGCAGACGACAGUUCUGGGACCUUCAAUGUUAGACCAUGGUGCGGGUGGGAAUUCUGGAAUCGGCUUCGAGUGGUGCAUAUUUUCUAGUGAUGGUGUAGGAUGUAGUCCGAUCUGUUGUGUGACAGUGAAGUUAUUCUCCACCAAGAUUGAAAACGAGGAAUUCGAAUUACCACGGUAUCCGUGAAUCGUGGCAAGGAGUCUAUUGUAACGUUACGUAACUGCGAGUGUUGGUAAACUGAAGGAGCAUGGCGCUGAGGCUCGUGAACUGGCGGCUAAGGCCAAGUACUACGAUAUGGCAGCUGCUGUUCAGUCGAUGUUGACAAUAGCUUAGGACAUAUAGAUGUGAUUGAUUUCAACGGUGUAAGUGCGCAGUGAAAGCCUGGUCUCAUAAUAUACAUUCCAUGAGUUCAAGGCUUACGUGUUCGAAUUAGAAGUAUGGGUUAAAAAUAUUACCAAGAAAAUGGACGUACGCAGAUGUUUAGGUUGCUAUGCAUGCAUACUAAGAGGUCAAAGCCGAAAUUGACGGCUGCCAGAUCCAAUUUUGUACCCUCAAAAAUUAUGGCCGGCGCGUGGUUCAAUAACAAGAUACUCUGAAGGACGAUCGGUAGAUGUUCAUACGAGCCGGAAGAACUGAGAAGGACCUUGGCUGCUACCUGGGAGGAGAUUUAAGCUCUGUUGAGUUAAUGCGCAAUGACAAGAAUUCUGCCAUUUUAAAUUCGACAGAAUGUGCCACGAAAAAAGUGUGAAAGAAAGACUGUUUUGAAAGAAUCAUUGUUGCUGAAGGCCCUUUUAUCUGUGGAUUCAGAUUCGUGAUUGAUUGUGAUCUUCGAGUUUGGUCGCUGUCACUGAUGUCAUCGCUGUCGUCGUGUUUUCUUUUCUGCUUCCAUUCUUUAAGGACUUGGGAAUCGACCGUAUUGUUUUCUACUUUCAAAACCUUUUCUUUUUACCUUGAAGACGGAAGCUUUGGAGGUGUUGAUGGAUGUUUGUUGUAAAUUCACGUUCUUCGUAGCGUCGUGGAUGGAAAGCUUGCAGUACAUUUUUUUUCAGCUGCAGGUUUCAUAGAGUGAUCGAAGAUGUCAACUUCCAUCUUUUGUAGCUCUCAUUUUUAAAUUGUGUAAUUGGUCCGGCUUUUUGAAUUACACCUUCCACAUCUAGGUUGCGAAGUGUUUAGUGAUGCAGUCCCGGUUUGAGUGCUGCAUCCAGGUAAGUAGUUUUCGUUUUCCGGCUCACUGUCGCUUUCACGAAGCACCUUGCUUGAAUGCAGUUUCUAGUUGACUGAGCACUAUCACUGAAAGUACGUUAAUCGUCGGUGUUUUAACGUUUGUUUUCCGUUGCGUUAACUGGUUUUCUAGUAAUUGCGUUUGAUUUUUUUUCCUUUUUUUUGGAAAACGAGUGAGUAGUUCCCCAAUUGAUGUUAUUUCAUUUAUUUCGCGGUGACGAUCAGGGAAACCCUGAAGACUUUUAUGUUCCAUAAAGGUGUUUUAAUGUUUUAUUUGUUUUGACCUUGCUUUUUUCAUAAUAAAUGUUUUAAAAGUAAAAAAUUGUAUUCGGAAUGGGUGUAUUGGUAAGGGAAAUUUGCGUACUUGUAACACGGGUAAGAUAUUGUAGCCAUGUAUAAAUAAGGAUAAAUAAUACCUAACAUCCAAUACCAAUAAACGAUGUUGUUGCGUAACGAUGCUGUUGCGUCACGGUGUCAAUUGCAAAUAUCACGACUAACACUUUAAUCGUUUCAAACAACGCAGUCUACAUCAUAAGUAAUCUCUCGCAACCAGUUCAUUUGAAUUACAGUCAUUUCAAUUCCAUUCAUGCUGGUGCUGAAAGGUGAAUCAAAUUCUAAAUUUUUCAGAAAACUUGUUACUUUCACGUUCAACUGCUUUUUAACUUCC